rnacentral:rRNA from 1 species
UUUCCAGACUCCUACGGGAGGCAGCAGUGAGGAAUAUUGGUCAAUGGGCGCGAGCCUGAACCAGCCAAGUAGCGUGAAGGAUGACUGCCCUACGGGUUGUAAACUUCUUUUAUAAAGGAAUAAAGUGAGGCACGUGUGCCUUUUUGUAUGUACUUUAUGAAUAAGGAUCGGCUAACUCCGUGCCAGCAGCCGCGGUAAUACGGAGGAUCCGAGCGUUAUCCGGAUUUAUUGGGUUUAAAGGGAGCGUAGAUGGGUUGUUAAGUCAGCGGUCAAAUGUCGGGGCUCAACCCCGGCCUGCCGUUGAAACUGGCGGCCUCGAGUGGGCGAGAAGUAUGCGGAAUGCGUGGUGUAGCGGUGAAAUGCAUAGAUAUCACGCAGAACUCCGAUUGCGAAGGCAGCAUACCGGCGCCCUACUGACGCUGAGGCACGAAAGCGUGGGUAUCGAACAGGAUUAGAUACCCUAGUA